GAUGAACGCUGGCGGCGUGCCUAAUACAUGCAAGUCGAGCGAACAGACGAGGAGCUUGCUCCUCUGACGUUAGCGGCGGACGGGUGAGUAACACGUGGAUAACCUACCUAUAAGACUGGGAUAACUUCGGGAAACCGGAGCUAAUACCGGAUAAUAUAUUGAACCGCAUGGUUCAAUAGUGAAAGACGGUUUUGCUGUCACUUAUAGAUGGAUCCGCGCCGCAUUAGCUAGUUGGUAAGGUAACGGCUUACCAAGGCAACGAUGCGUAGCCGACCUGAGAGGGUGAUCGGCCACACUGGAACUGAGACACGGUCCAGACGCCUACGGGAGGCAGCAGUAGGGAAUGUUCCGCAAUGGGCGAAAGCCUGACGGAGCAACGCCGCGUGAGUGAUGAAGGUCUUCGGAUCGUAAAACUCUGUUAUUAGGGAAGAACAAAUGUGUAAGUAACUAUGCACGUCUUGACGGUACCUAAUCAGAAAGCCACGGCUAACUACGUG
rnacentral:rRNA from 1 species